UUAAAUCUUGUUCUCAUUUAUUUUCCUGUGUCUAGUUGCGGGUUCUUGAACUUUGCUAGCAAUACCAAGUGUCUGCGUUGUCCAGAGCCAAGGCCCCAGGGACGUAUUGGGGAUUGGAAUUGUCCCAAAUGUGAUUUCUUCAACUUCGGAAAAAAACAAGACUUGCCUGAAGUGCAAUCAUCAACGCCCUCUUGAACAACCGAGUGCUGAGGACGAGGACCAUGAAUGGAGACGGCCCACUUGAGAAGUCAUGGAGUUGCCAAUAGCCUUAUGGCAUAGCUAUGUCACCUCCAGAUGCCAUUCGAUCCUGCGUGCUGCAACUCGUACUGAACAAAUGGAGGAAAAACAGCUUGUGGAGUUUUUUUAUGCAUGGUGGGGAUCGGAUAUAUUGGAUUGUAUCGUAAAUUUUCGACAAUUUUCUAUGUUCGUCUUUUUAUUUCCAGCGAUAAUUUUCUAUGUUCUGCUUUG